rnacentral:rRNA from 1 species
AGAGUUUGAUCAUGGCUCAGGAUGAACGCUGGCGGCGUGCCUAACACAUGCAAGUCGAACGAAGCAUUUACGGAUGAACCCUUCGGGGCGAUUUUGUUUAUGACUGAGUGGCGGACGGGUGAGUAACGCGUGGGGAACCUGCCUCUGCCAGGGGGAUAACAGUUAGAAAUGACUGCUAAUACCGCAUAAGCGCACGGAACCGCAUGGUUCGGUGUGAAAAGCCGAGACGGACAGAGAUGGACCCGCGUCUGAUUAGGUAGUUGGUGAGGUAACGGCCCACCAAGCCGACGAUCAGUAGCCGACCUGAGAGGGUGACCGGCCACAUUGGGACUGAGACACGGCCCAAACUCCUACGGGAGGCAGCAGUGGGGAAUAUUGCACAAUGGGGGAAACCCUGAUGCAGCGACGCCGCGUGAAGGAAGAAGUAUUUCGGUACGUAAACUUCUAUCAGCAGGGAAGAAAAUGACGGUACCUGAGUAAGAAGCUCCGGCUAAAUACGUGCCAGCAGCCGCGGUAAUACGUAUGGAGCAAGCGUUAUCCGGAUUUACUGGGUGUAAAGGGAGCGUAGGCGGCGAUGCAAGUCAGAGGUGAAAGCCCGGGGCUCAACUCCGGGACUGCCUUUGAAACUGUAUGGCUGGAUUGCAGGAGAGGUAAGUGGAAUUCCUAGUGUAGCGGUGAAAUGCGUAGAUAUUAGGAGGAACACCAGUGGCGAAGGCGGCUUACUGGACUGUAAAUGACGCUGAGGCUCGAAAGCGUGGGAG